rnacentral:rRNA from 1 species
GACGAACGCUGGCGGCGUGCUUAACACAUGCAAGUCGAACGGAAAGGCCCUGCUUGUGUGGGGUGCUCGAGUGGCGAACGGGUGAGUAACACGUGAGUAACCUGCCCUGGACUUUGGGAUAACUUCAGGAAACUGGGGCUAAUACCGGAUAGGAGCUCCUGCUGCAUGGUGGGGGUUGGAAAGUUUCGGCGGUUGGGGCUGGACUCGCGGCUUAUCAGCUUGUUGGUGGGGUAGUGGCUUACCAAGGCUUUGACGGGUAGCCGGCCUGAGAGGGUGACCGGCCACAUUGGGACUGAGAUACGGCCCAGACUCCUACGGGAGGCAGCAGUGGGGAAUAUUGCACAAUGGGCGGAAGCCUGAUGCAGCAACGCCGCGUGCGGGAUGACGGCCUUCGGGUUGUAAACCGCUUUCGCCUGUGACGAAGCGUGAGUGACGGUAAUGGGUAAAGAAGCACCGGCUAACUACGUG